rnacentral:lncRNA from 1 species
GGGAGAACUAGUAAGUAUAUAAAUCAAAUCUGAUGUAUCUCGUUUAAUAUGACCAAAACAAAAAUUAUCACAAAUAUCAACUGUAUUCUAUUUACUGGUAAUUUGCAUUUUAAAUUAGUACUGUUUAUAUUAUUAUCAACAAUGUAAUAUUUUGUAAUUGAAUUGAAAGAAUAUUUUAAAUAGAAAAGUCCCCAAGAUAUAGGUGAUUUGUCUUAAGUAUCUUCCCUGAAACUAAUACUCUAUUUUCGAUCAAAUUUAAAACAAUGGUUUAGUUUAGAUAACUUAAUACAAGGAGACCCGAGCGAUGUACCAAAUAAAACUGAUAUGUAGGAAAAUAUUCACAUAUUUACAAAUUUAUGAAUGGAGAAUCAACAAAGAUUUUAUCAAAAGGAAGAAAAUAUACACAAUGAAAACUAUUUUGUAACCUUGUUUUGCCAGUCAGUAUAAAAGAUCUUUACACAAAUCUACAAAAAUUCUGUACAAUGUACAAAAUGGGUAAACGCCCGGUUUUCCCCAUUGGGUUCAUAUACAAUAUUGACAAAAAUGAAAGCACUGACAUAGUUGUUCCACUUCACUGAAUGUACAUAAUAAUGAUGGCUUAUAGACAUAUAUAUAAUUCUCUGACUACUAUUUUUACAAUAUAAAAUAUACUGAGCUAUACAUUGCAAAUGUUUGUACACAGAUGGCUAAAUAUACAAGAUAUAUAUAUGUACUAUGCUACCCUGAUAAGCAAAGAAUGAGAGGAAAGGUUUCCUUUGAAUGUACGUACCCCAAUAAGCAUAAGUAUUACCUCAACAAAAAUUUCAUAUUUUAUACCCUGAUGUGAAAUUGCCUAUUAUAAGCAUUUUAAAAUGUUCUGAUAUUAACAUUAGUUGUUCUCAAUUUAAAUGAAAGUUUCUCCAGAUACAAAAUCAAUCCCUAUAUAAUAUAAACAGCUUGGAUACUUAAAAUUAAGGAGACCACAUUCCACUUUUGUCCCUCUAUAAUCCAAAACCCAAUUACAUUUCAAUGGACUCAAAAUCCCAUAAGUGUAAUUUGUAUUUGUAGACAAUAUCUAAAAAUAUCAAUAUUCCUCUAGAACAGAAAAUAAAGAGGAAUGAAUAUAUAUGAAUAAAGAAAAAGAAGCAAAUGGCAAAAUAUACAACAUCCUAAAAUACUACACAUCUACUGUACAAUAUAAAGUGAACAUUCCAUGUACUAAAUUACUUAUUGGACCCAUUAAUUUGUUGACAACUAAAGUGAUGAUGACAAUGAUAUCUGGCAAAAAAACAUGAAAAUAUAUACAAAAACUUGCAAUGUGAAACAAACUUUGAUAUACCAUCUAGAAAACUUGGUGUAUAAUUUUAACCUAGAAUGAGUUUUAAAUAUGUAUAGACACUCUCUAGAAAAUCAUGCAAGUCAAUACUACAAAAGGUGAAUAGACAAAAAAUAUAUAUAUGGAAACUACUUGAUACCUAUCAUUCACCACUCCAAUAACUGAAAAUAGAUGUGUGACUGCUUAACUUUAAGAUAUCUUAAAGUUAAGCAGUCACACAUCUAUUUUGUACAAUAAUUAUCAAAGACCUGAUUCUAAUGAAAGAUCUCGAGUCUGCACAAAUUGUCACCCAAUUUCAUUAUUUGAAAACCGAUCUUCUCUCUUUAACCCUUCUGAUGGUGAGAUAACUAUUUGUCAGGGCUACAACAGAGUCUUUUUCACAUUGCAAGUAAUGUGUACCAAACAUGAGAUAAAAUAUAACAACAAAAUCCCUAACUUGGUGAACAUGCAACCAAUUACUUCUAGGAGAUAAAAAAAACUAAAAAAACUUCCGAUAUAAAAUAUAUUAGAUUUUAUAUCUAAUAUAUCUAUGGGUACCGAAUCUUCAGCCUUUUUUUUAAUUGACCAUUUUAAAGUCUAAAGAAUAGUUGGUUAUGUCAUUCUGCAUACUUAUAUAAUAAUAUGCUUCUAUUAGUUAUGUUCUGAAAAUCACUCAUCUGUUUAUAAAAUCAACUGCUCAAGAUCAAACAAGAAUAUUAAUUAUAACCUGUUUGAAAUGAUUCUAUCCACCCCGUCCCCUGAUAUAAACUAGAAAUUAAUAUAAGGCUAAAACAAGCAAUGAAUCAUAUCAAUUAAUAUUUAUAUCUUAUUCCACAAUGAAUAAGAAUGGUCUGUUUAAAUAAGCAUGACUUGUACAACUUAGCAGUAUUAGUGUAUAUGCUUGCAAGCUCUUGCAUUGUUUAAAUAACUUGGAAAAUUUGAAAGAUGAUUUUUCUCCUACUCUUCAUAAUAAAGAUUGUCACUUGAUAAAUCAGUCGAUAAUAUUGUCAACAGGCAGUUUUAAAUGCAAUCUCAAAUUUUGUUUUCAAUUCUCAAGCACAUCAUUUAUCUCUUUGAUGAUAUGCGUUAGAAUAUUACGGAGUGAAGAUUGUUUUUAAUCAAAUUUGCAAUGGUCUUGUGUAAUCGCCUUUAAUGAGGCCACGUUCAUAUAAAAGUAGUCUACCUUUCUAGCGUCCUCCCUCUGUAAGUCAAACACAGUCCAUCCCAUCCCCCCCUUUUAAGUUGCAAUUAACAAAAUUCAUACAUUUUGUUAAAAAUAUUUUUCUGUACACAUUGUAAAACUUCUAUGGUCCUUAUGGGAAUGAAGGCACAUUAGAACUGUAUUAAUAGGGGUUAGAAAUUGGAUUAUCUAAGAUCAGUAAGCCAAUCAAGAGAUAAAAUUGAGAAUGGAAAUGGGGAAUGUGCCAAAGAGACAACAACCCGACCAUAGAAAAAAACAACGACAUGUUCUAUUGCCAAAUCAAAAAAUAUGACAAUUUUCAAAUACUACAAAAAUAAUUAUCCAAGACUUGCUCAAAACCUGGGACCUUUAGUUGCAUUCUAUUUUAAUUGUUCCAUGAAGAUAAAUUCGAGAAAAUUAAUGUUUCUUAAUAUUUUCAAGUUAAUUCCAUUGCACAAGUAUCGUUAGAUGUAUUUGAAAAUUAAGAUAAAAUAUGAAAAACGAAAUAUUUCCAGUGCAAGUAAAAUUGAUUAGAAAAAAAUAUAGAUCCGAUAAUCCAACACUGAAAUCCCUAUUAAUACAUCUAUGUUUCCUUGUAAGUUUUCAUUGGGUGCCAUUACGAUUCUGAUAUCAGACUCAAUGAAAGAUGAGUUGUUGAAUGAAGAACUAAAUAUACAAAAACAGAACUACUUACAAUCUCUGUACAAACUUCUUAUAUUACAGGUUUGGUCCUAAAUGGUUUGUUUACAUGAUAAUUCUGUACAUUAUAAUGAUAUUUUAAUUACAGGUUACAAUGAAGCAAAUGUACAUCACAAUUAUGAUAUCUAGUCACUUAUCAAUUUCUGCCUUAAAAAAAACAACCCUCCUAUUUAUAAUUAAUAUCAUUAACCCCCCCCCCCCUUUCCCUACUUGAUGCAUUUAGUAAUUUCUUGUUGAGUCCCUACCAACUAAGUAUCUUAAGCAAACUGUAAUCAUGCAGUCUCAAAUUAAACACGGUCUCCAUAUGUUUAUAAAAUUCCCUUAAGUUUUUUUUAAGUCUUGUUUGUAUAUCAACAGUUGAUUAUAGAGUUUUGAAAACCAGUAUCCAUAUAUCAGUUGCCAUAUUAAAAUCUGUUAAUGUUAUAGUGCAUAAAUCUACACUCACUUAAUAUCAGUCAAUUGAAGACCAGCAACCUAGAACUAUGAUGUACACUAGCUUCAACUGCAACCAAAAUCAUAGAAAAUACUGUUGAAAACAGUCCUUUUUUUGACAGCUAUGAGUUAUAUAUUACAAAACUUUGUACAAACUAUCUGUAGAUGACAAUGUAUCACAUGUAUAUGUAGCACUCUUGGUAACUUUGUACAAGGCAGCAGGAUUAAACUCUGUACACUAUAGACAAUACUCUGGUUGUUUCAUGUUCGACAAUAAGAUCCAGUAACAAAUUUUGCUUUUAUCAAAUCUUUUACACCGAUACUUUAAGCUUAACUUUUGGGAAACUACAAAUUAACUAAUUCAUUAAUUUGGAAAAAAAAUAUGCCGAGUCAAGGUAAAUAAAUCAAAAGUGGUCUAGAAAGAUCCUUUGCUAAAUUUAUAUAUAAAAUAAAAUCAAUUCUUGAAGGUAAAACACCAUUUUCAAAACACUUUUCCUUAAACAAAAAUUUCCCACUAAAACAAAACCAUUUACAAACGAUAUAACAACUUCACAGCCUUUCCAGUACAACAUGCAGUAACAACCAGCAGUACUGCUAUAAUGUUCUAUACACAACCAAUAUCUACACAAUUCAUUCAUUAUGCUAAUUAGGAAUGCUUUAAAAUCAUACCAUACAUAAUUUUGUUUUGAAUACUGAAAUGUUCAAUUGUCAAAGUUUCCUUUUUCUGUUCAUUUAUCAAAGUUUCUUUUCUUCCGUCUCCAUCCAACCUAUCAUCAUUUUUUCUUCUUUCUAAAUUAAAUUUCAAAGUAUUUGAAUGUUAACAGCAUUUCAAAGAAUUUGAAAUAUUUCUUUUGAAAGUAUCGAUUUUUUUCAUUUCAAAAAAAAAUAUAUAUCAAUCACAAAAUUCAAAUUUUUGUAUGCCAAUAAGUAUUUUAAGUAAUGUAUGCUAUCUUACCACAUCUUUAUAUUUUUAUAUUACCUAGUGAAAAUUAUAGUUUUACCAUUGAUAAAUACUGUGUUUUAGAAUUCUUUAUGUAACAUUUUUUUUAAAUUUUCUACAGAAGAAACUCUGACAACUUGCCAUUUCAGCGAUCACCGGUGGGAAUAAUUUUAACUUUUAGCCCUGAAGUCAACAUUUGUGUACAGUAAUAUAUAAUGCAUGUCUGAAUAUAUGAUCUACUAUUUAGUUUAGCUAUCCUUAAUUUAAUUUUUCUAUUAUUGCAAAUAAAUUCAAUAUUUAAUUACAGCAUUAAAACCUUUUUGAGACAUACCCUCACUUCUGUUAAAACUGGUUACCAAUAUAACUGAACAAAGGGGACAAACCCAGUAAGCACCAUUGAUUACCUCAUCUGUACAAUGACUAUAUCUUUACAAUAUUCUCAUAUAUUACAGCUUUUGUCAAAUAUUGACAAAGAAAUAGGAAUGAUUUUGUUUAAAAAAUCCUACAAGUAAUUAAAUCUUGAGAAAUAUACAUUUUCCAUUAUCAUAACUCUUUCUAUUUUACAUUGAAAUGAACAUACAUUAUGCAAGUAUUUAUGAUAAUUAUUCCCUCUUAUCAAAUAAUAUACACUACUUCCAUUGGUUUGGAAAAGUGUAUAAUCAAAAUGUAUUGUUAUUUUGUUAUUAUAUAAUAUUUGUCAAAUAUUUUCAAAAUAAAAAAAAAUGUAUAAAAAUUCCGACAUUUUUUCAGGAAUAUAAUCACAAAAUCAGAAAUAUAAUCAUAUCUAAAAAAAAAUUAUAUAGCAAUUAAAUAAAAUGACUUCUAAUGGAAUCAAUAGUAUGAUAUCAUGGCCAUAGAAAAUCAUCAAACCAAACAGAAGUAAUAGACAUUAUUUGAUAAGGGGAAAUAAACCUUAAUGAUAGGCACUUGUAUUAUUUACAUAGGAAAUAUGAUACACUUCUGUAUCUUUACAGCUAUGUUACAUUUGUAAUAAAAACAAACUUUAUAAAGUAAUAUAUCUGAGGAAAAUUCUUGCAAUAAAAAUUUGCAUAUUUCUUCAAAUCUGAUGAUACACAUUUUGAAAACUUCACUGAAAGUGAACACAGUAUUUAUUUACAAAAGUAGCCACUCAUUUCAUGUAAGGGGAGAGUAUUUUAUUCAGACUUACUCACUAUUACAACCUGGGAUAUUUACAGCUCAUCUUUUUUUUCUUUUCCAUGACAUAGGGGUAUUUAUAUAAGAUAUCUAAGCAGUUAAAGGCUAAAAUUCUUCUUUAUAUUUUCUCUCUCUGUAACUGUGUCUUCAUAUACGACAUAUAUAUUUGUUGAAUUUGGACUCCCAACUUAGGAUUCUAUAAGACCCUGGCUAUUAAUGAGCUUAUCAGCAACACAAUAUCAAAACCAUGAACUAACAAAAACCAAGGCAUUAGAGUCAUUAGAGCAUAUGCAACCCUUAUUUUCAGGCAGCAAUAUGUAUCUUAGAUUAAGUUCAUAAAAUAUUAAAGAAUUUUAUCACCAGAUUAGAAGAAAUACACAAACAUUAUUCCCAUUGCAAUUUGGAAUGAAUGCUGCUUUUAAUGGAAGAUAUUUACACUGAUUACAUUGCACGUUUUGUUUAUCUAAAAAUUUUGUACAAAACUUUUUUUCAAAUUUACAAAGUUGACUUGACUUUUAUUAUACAUUCUUUUAGAGUUACUAAAAUUUACACGGUUCCAGUGAAAAUAUUUACAUAUAUACCUACAAAAAUGUUCACAACUGAAAGACUUUUAGUUUUCUUAUUUUGAUACAAAUUUUUGUACAGACUAUUAACUUUUUUACAGUGCCUAUAUAGAGAGAUAUCAAAUUUGUACAUUGCUUUGCCAUAUUGAAUACUAUUGUUUAUGAAAAAUACGAUAAAAACACUGCAUACAACAUUUUCUUAUAUCUACAUAAUCAGCUAUAGAAAGUCAUAGAAUUAACAACUGUCAAUUACAUUUAGUUAACUGGAUUUACAGAUCAGAUUUUUUGAUCGACUGCAAAACUGUAGUUAUCCAACAGAGCAAAAGUCCAGUUUCGGGGAGUCAAACAAAAAAAAGCUAUUGCCUUCAAACUUUGAUUAACUAAUUUUUGUUAACCAAUGCUGUGAUUAAAGAGAUCAAUCUACAGACUCAGGUUUCCUGUCUAGAUGGUCGAAAGUUUGUUGACCAUUGAUUAUUAAUUUUCAUUUAAACAAACUCUUUUGAUUUUGGAUACUGUGCGACUUUACCAAUUGCAAAUAUUUCAUGCAUGUUACCCAAAAAAAAACAGCUUUAGUACUUCCUAAAUAUUCACAUUAAAAUAAUUUAAUUCAAUGCCAGUCAAGGUUGUUAAAAACUUCCAUCAUCAUCAAAUGAUCCUCAACAUUUUGGGAUUUGAAAAGAACGUCAUUGAAAGAAAUUCAAAUCAAUAGCAUGUAAGACAUCCUUUGGAAUGUAGCCAAAAAAAUAGAAUGCACCGCAAUUAUCUGCAAAAGUUGCUAAUUCUAAGUUCCUAUAAGAAUGGAUAUAUUUUUUAAAAUGACGUUUAAAAAUAAAUACAAAUUCUUUUAAGGAUUACAACUGCAAGUUCAUAUGAAACAGGUAAAUUAUGAUCAUUAUCAUUUUAUCCUAAAACAAUUUCCCCAACUUCGAAACUUGCAUCUUUAAAAGAAGAUUUUAACCCUAGAUUAUUCUCAAAAUCUAAUAAUGCACAGAGUCAACUAUCUGAUGAAACCUUUAAACAUUACUAUGUUCAUUUAAGAAAUAUAGAAUUAAUAUUUGUACAGGAUAGAAUACUACAUUUGAUUUAUCUGUGAGAUCAAGACUAGUAUUAAAAAAGCCAUUUCAUACAGAAAUAUUAUACAAUGAGACAUAUUAUAAAAUACCAUUGAAAUUUACUCAAUCUAAUCACAGAUCACUACAUGUGAAUGAUUUUUAUCAACAUAAAACAAACUAAUUAAAUGUUUUUGAAAGCGAAAGAACAAUCCAGUAUAUCAUUUUGAUAGAAUUUUGAAUGGUUUUAUUAGGCGUUAGUAAAAAUAAAAAUGCAGACUAUUUCUUAACAUAAAUAGAUUGAGCAUUGUAUAUUGUUUCAAUGCAAUCAAUUCAUUCCAUCUUGUAAGUUCUCAUGAAAAAAUGUAUUUUAUUUUAUCUAAAUCGUAAGGUAGGAUCCUCCUGAGUUUAUUGAACAAUGUUCUAUAAACUUUUAUCUUCAAUUGGAGUGUUUAUUCAGUUUAUACAUUAAUAAUACAAAGUACUUUUCUGUAACUAUUUUCCAAAAGUUAUUUCAAUAUGUCAGCAGUUCAUGACCCAAGAUUUUUAUUGAAACAUUUCUAAGCUAUUCAUGAUAUGUGUUUUAUCUUUCUUCUUAUUAGUCUUGAGUAAUUAACUCAACCUAUCUUUAACAUCUCAUUGGCAAAUCUACAUAAAUCUUUUAACUCAUAGAAUCUCAUUUAAAAUUAUACCCAAAAUAUGUAUCACUGAUACUAUUACAUGCACAAAAGUUUAUGCCAAAUAAUAAAAAUCUUUCAAUUUAUUUCUAUUUACAUGCACCAUAUUAAAAAACACUUAGAUAGAAACUGAAGAAAAAACAGAAAAAGAAAUCUUCAGAAUAUUCAACUAAAUGCAAAAGAAAUGAAAAAAAAAAAAU